UUGUUGUGAGUAUCUAUAUAUUAUAGGAUUUUUCUAUAUAUAUAACGCACAUAUUGCAUGCCUUUGAUAGGCUUUUACAAUUUCAAACUAUAAUUUGAAGUCUCUGUAAUGAUCUACAGCUCAAAAUCAUGCAUGUGUUGCCUAGACAAGUUCUUGGGAUAUCAAGAUUUGAUGUGGUUGUAAUAAUGGAUGUAGCCACUUUGGAUGAUCAAGUUAUUGCAAGGAACAGAAAGGUUCACUGGUACACCACUAGCAACCAUCUGAAUAUGACAGUUCCUAAGAUUUACCCUACGACACCUAGCACAGAGGAAGAAUGGUCCGAAAGAAAAACUGACGGUGGGAUAGCUGAAAGUUAUUCUUCAGUAUCAACAUAUGCAGAGUCAGAAAAUGAGGCUCAAAGUGAAGCUUCGAUUCUCUGAGAACUGACACAAUUUAUGCGGGAACUUACAGUUGACGUGGAGGAAAUUGAGGCUGCCAUCAAAGAGAUUUCUGAUAACUUUGCUGAAUUGCUCAAGACGACCCCUCCAGCUAGGUCUAAGGAAACUUAAAAUCCGGCUCUGACUCCCACACUAAACUGAUCAGCCUGGAAGCUUGAAUGAUUGCAUUUCAUAAUCUUUUGGGUGCUAGUUGACGGCACUCAUGCUUUUUUUUCUUUCUUUUUGAAGUAGUUUUAUGUUAUGGGUUUUAAGUUGUGUUUAUUUUCUAGUGCUGUUUAGGAUUUCUUGAAAUCUUAGCAUUUAGUUUUGCAUUAUGAAGCUUUUUACCCCAAUUUUUGUUGAUGACAAAAGGGGAAGAACGAGUUCGGUGGAUAUGUGUUAGUGUAUGAUGGAUAAUGUUAAUAGUUGGAUGAUUUUGCUCGAA